GGGCCGGGGCAACCCCGGGGGAGGGGUGAGGGGGAGGGAGGUGGCUGGGGCACGGCCAGGAGCCCGCCGCCCGGAGCCCCUGGUGACCCGAGUCCUCCGCUGGGGCCCCGCGCCUGGGGUCGGCUCGCUGUCACGCCCUUCCCCGAGCCGGAGGCCAAGAUUGGGACGUGCGAGGCGGUUGGCAGCGCUGAGCGACUGGGUCGGGGUGCAGAGGCGUUUUAACCGCCCCCAUCCAGGGUUUGGAAAGGAAAAACCCAGAGGACCCGGGCAGUAAAAAAACCUGAAGGGCUCACCACGUACUGGACUCUGGAGAAUCCGGGCAAAGAAAAGGAAAAAACCAAGCAGCAAGUCAUCUUACGCCUGCUGAUACCCUCUUCCCCUUUGUCAGCCCUUUUCCUUGCUUUCAGGAUGAAUUAAAAUUCUUAUCUGCUCUGCAUUCAGCAU
rnacentral:lncRNA from 1 species